rnacentral:ncRNA from 1 species
AUUCCGGUUGAUCCUGCCGGAGGUCAUUGCUAUUGGAGUCCGAUUUAGCCAUGCUAGUUGCGCGGGUUAGACCCGCAGCAGAUAGCUCAGUAACACGUGGCCAAAUUACCCUAUGGAUCCGGACAACCUCGGGAAACUGAGGCUAAUCCGGAAUACGAUUCUCACGCUGGAAUUGCCGAGAAUCCGAAACGC